AUGCCCCAACCAAUCACAGCUUGUUUCCAGGCAGUUUCCAAAGCCAUCCAAUUACAGCCUGUUGCCAGGCAGGCUCCAUUUGCCAGGUGGGUUUCAAAGCCAUUCCUGAGUAACCGAUGCUCGCUUGCCAGCAGCCAUCUUGGCAUGGCCUUCUCAAAAAAAGAAAGCACAGGCCCCUCUCUCGGGGUGAACCCAUUCCAGGGCAUCCUGCCCUUCACAAAGAAAAGAGAACUCUCCCUGGGGCUCCUGCUGGCUUCUCUGGGAUCGGUCGCAUUAUCGAGAAAUUCUCAAGUUGCUUGUACUUUUGAAUCAUACUUUGAAGAAUUCUCUUAUUGGGCAACUCAGAAUAUGAAGGGAUUGAAUUAACAAAUGGUUCUGGAAUAAUUGAAUAUCCAAAUGCAAAUUAUAAACUUUACAUUUUACCACAGAGGAGAAUUCCAUAAUGGAUAAUUAGGGAAAAGAUGUACUGCUGUAAACUCUGGAGAAAUACAGAAGAAAGGGAGGAAGUGCAUCCAUGGAGCCACGGAGAAGGUGCAGAGCAGACAUGUAGCAAUGAACAUAGAAACCACACACAUCCCUGGCAUCAGGAAAAUGGAACUGGAGCAAAUGUCAGCUUUGGAGAUCAAGCUGAGAGCAGACUGCAGCAGCCCAUGCAACUGGUGAUAUAACCUAAGGAAGAGCCUUCUGGACCACACUGUCUGGCCUGCAGCCCUAAUGAGGGUCAAGGUACCCACCUAAUCAAGCAAAAGAAAAGUGUGUUUGUUUCCUCCCCAUUCCCCUGAUGAAGAUACUGAGCAACUGGCAGAAGAAGGCACCAUUUUGACACAAGUAGAGGCUGAGGUGUCUUUUGUGGGCACAUUUGAUCAGGAUAUAUUACCAGAGGGAAAAAUCUACAUUCAUCACUGACUUUGAGUCUCACUGGAAGGGUUGACAGAGUGCUAGGUACCCAUGUAAGACUGUGAAGUAACCCAUCCACUCAAUUUUCACAGGCUCCAGGGCUCAAACUCUCAAGCUAGAGCACCCAAAGGCACUGCCUCUGGGAACAUGUCUGCUCUCUGUGGACAGGAAAAUGUAAAUCCUCUGCACCUUGUGACUGUGAGAGCUUUGUGUUCUAUGACUGUGAGAACUAUGUGGUCUAUGUGGUUGCACAAUUAGACUCAAGUUAAAGCUGGAUCUCUGGGCAAUUAGUGUGUCUGAUGCCAGAGGAUCAGAGCUCCCUGCCUUCCUGGGUGGGUCAUUUGUAAUUCAUGUGACAACGUGAGUGUUGCCCCCACUGUAGGCUAACGGUGGGCAUUGAUCACCUGGUAAGAGAGGAAGUGAGGAGCUGAUUACACCAACAGAGGUGAACAUACACACCAUACUGCUGACAAUAGAGGAGAUCUACCACACCCAACUUGGCUGUCACCAGGGAUGCUUGCCCCACACUGAAGCACUGAUCAGAGCUCCCUGACCACAGUCAGUACCAAUGUUCAUUAGUACUUAGUCCACUAAGCCAUAGAGGCAUAGUUCAAAGCUAAAAUCCAUCAGAGAAUAAAACCAAUAAGAUCUUCCA
ensembl:lncRNA